CCUACGGGAGUCAGCAGUGAGGAAUAUUGGUCAAUGGGCGCGAGCCUGAACCAGCCAAGUAGCGUGAAGGAUGACUGCCCUACGGGUUGUUAAACUUCUUUUAUAAAGGAAUAAAGUGAGUCACGUGUGCCUUUUUGUCUGUACUUUAUGAAUAAGGAUCGGCUAACUCCGUGCCAGCAGCCGAGGUAAUACGUAGGAUCCGAGCGUUCUCCGGAGUUAUUGGGUUUAAAGGGAGCGUAGAUGGGUUGUUAAGUCAGUUGUGAAAGUUAGCGGCUCAACCGUAAAAUUGCAAUUGAUACUGGCAGCCGUGAGUACAGUUGAGGUAGGCGGAAUUCGUGGUGUAGCGGUGAAAUGCUUAGAUAUCACGAAGAACUGCGAUUGCGAAGGCAGCUUACUAAACUGCCACUGACAUUGAUGCUCGAAAGUGUGGGUAUCAAACAGGAUUAGAUACCCUGGUAGUC
rnacentral:rRNA from 1 species